GCAUUUAGGCUGUCCCUCACCAAUCUUGUCUGAUCUUCAAAGCUAAGCAGGGCUAGGCUUAAUUACUAUUUAUAUAGGAGACCUCCUGGGAAUAUCAGGUCCUGCAUGGU
rnacentral:rRNA from 1 species